CAAACACUACAGUGGAAGUGUGUUGAAUCAAGAGUAGAUAGUAAGCGCCUUUAUUAUGGUCGUUUCAUUCUGUCCCCGCUUAGAAAAGGUUAAGCGAACACCGUCGGUAUUGCCUUGUGA
rnacentral:rRNA from 1 species